AUUGAACGCUGGCGGCAGGCCUAACACAUGCAAGUCGAACGAGUGGCGGACGGGUGAGUAAUGUCUGGGAAACUGCCUGAUGGAGGGGGUUACCGACUGGAAACGGUAGCUAAAACCGAAUAGCUUCAGAUGUGCCCAGACGGGAUUAGCUUGUUGGGGGGGUAACGGCACACCAAGGCGACGACCCCUAUCUGGUCCGAGAGGGUGACCUGCCCAACGGGAACUGGGCCCCGGCCCAGCUACCUACGGGUGGCAGCAGUGGGGAAUAUUGCAGAAUGGGCGCAAGCCGGCUGAAGCCAUGCCGCGUGUAUGAAGAAGGCCUUCGGGUUGUAAAGUACUUUCAGCGGGGAGACGGUAACCGCAGAAGAAGGACCGGCUAACUCCGUGCCAGCAGCCGCGGUAAUAC
rnacentral:rRNA from 1 species